rnacentral:rRNA from 1 species
UACGGGGGGGGCAAGCGUUGCUCGGAAUUACUGGGCGUAAAGGGUGCGCAGGCCGCGCGGGCAGUCCAAUGUGUAAUUCAGGGGCUCAACCCCUGCACUGCGCUUGAUACUUCCGCGCUCGAGCUUUGGAAAGGAGUCUGGAAUUCUCGGUGUAGCAGUGAAAUGCGUGGAUAGUCGAGAAGAACACGUUAGGGCGAAGGCAAGACUCUGGACAAAGUGCUGACGCUCAUGCACGAAGGCUAGGGUAGCGAACGGG